GACGAACGCUGGCGGCGUGCCUAAUACAUGCAAGUAGAACGAGUGGCGGACGGGUGAGUAAUGUCUGGGAAACUGCCCGAUGGAGGGGGAUAACAACUGGAAACGGUAGCUAAUACCGCAUACCAUCGGAUGUGCCCAGAUGGGAUUAGCUAGUAGGUGUGGUAACGCCUCACAUAGGCGACGAUCCUUAGCUGGUCUGAGAGUAUGACCAGCCACACUGGAACUGAGACACUGUCCAGAUUCCUACGGGAGGCAGCAGUGGGGAAUAUUGCACAAUGGGCGCAAGCCUGAUGCAGCCAUGCCGCGGGUAUGAAGAAGGCCUUCGGGUUGUAAAGUACUUUCAGCGAGGAGGCGUUACUCGCAGAAGAAGCACCGGCUAACUCCGUGCCAGCAGCCGCGGUAAUUC
rnacentral:rRNA from 1 species